rnacentral:rRNA from 1 species
UACAGAGGUCCCAAGCGUUGUUCGGAUUCACUGGGCGUAAAGGGUGCGUAGGCGGUCGGGUAAGUCUGAUGUGAAAUCUCAGAGCUCAACUCUGAAACUGCAUUGGAUACUAUUCGGCUUGAGGUCUGGAGGGGGGACUGGAAUUCUCGGUGUAGCAGUGAAAUGCGUAGAUAUCGAGAGGAACACCAGUGGCGAAGGCGGCCAACUGGUCCAUUACUGACGCUGAGGUGCGAAAGCGUGGGGAGCAAACAGG